CUCAGGACAAAGUGUGCAGGGACCUCGACACUUGCUCCACCUUCGUGUCAAGCUUAAAGACUUCUUCUACUGGAGAGAGACCCUCCCAGAAAGAGCAAAUCUGCAAAACGGAGACCAAGUCACCCUUUUUAAAUGUUCCAAGGAAUGACUUCCAUAAAUGUGGUAUGACACGCUUACCCAGCAUGGACCCCCAGAGCACCCAGGAUGUAACCCAGUCUUGCAGUAAAGAAAGUCUGAGCGACAAUGACUCAUCAGAUGAAGAGGGGAGCACCAAACAUUGACCCUUGAAUGCAGAAAGAGAAAAAGAACCAAGCCAAUGACUAAUAAUUGAAGUUAUUCUAAAAUCUUUUACAUAUGACUUGAGUGGCAGAUAGGGCAUUGCUAAAAACUAGACAGUUGUUAAUAAAAAUUAAUAGUGAUGUUAAAAAAACCUACCAAUAGCUUUGCUAGUAACCUUGUGAACGUUGUUGUAAAAUGUUAUGCCAUCACAAAGGACUAUGACAACUCAGUUACCAGAUGAUAUGAAGCAGCGCAGUUAUUAUGCCUUAAUUAAUGGCAAUUAAGAGUGCAACUAUUGUCUCUGCCUACCUGCCCGCUAGCCAAUCCCUAAUAGGCUAUAGUUAUGAAACAAAGAAAAACCAUGCUUUUGAUUGUGUGUAAAUUGAAUGUUUUGAUCUAAAAUCUAAAAAUUAAUCAUUUUAUAUUAUGUACAAAGUAAUCCUAUUUUAUGUAAUAAAAAACACAAUGAGCCAGA